ACAGCACUAAUCGGACGUUUGUGGAGCAUGUCCUAAUAAUUAAUUUAAAAACCGUACUAAGUGCACCUCCUGCAUAAGAGGUUGGCAAAGAGGUGAAACUAGCAAUAUAAUUGUUCUAAAUUUGUAAAAAUAACUAUAAUUUUAUUUUUUUAUGUAUAUAACCGGAAGUACCGGGUCUUCAUCAAAUUACUGAGACCCACGUGACCAAAUUUAAAUUUCCCGCUUUAAAUAUUUUUUCUUUAUGUUGGUAGACACGGACAGUUGGUUAAAACAAAAUACCCAAAUUGCAUAUUUGUUUAUUUCUCCUCCUGUCAAUCUUUGCUUGUGUUUACCGUUUUUUUCGAAUUUCUUUAACAUUAUCUUAAAUCAACAGCCAAAACAGUUCUUUUCAGAGCUCUUAACGCUACGAAGUUAUUCUGAUUGUAUCGCUGUAGGAAGAUGGUGUUCACACCAGAGCAAGAUGCUUUUAUUUUAAUGGCACAUUUCCGCAGUGGUAACCGAAAUCCUGAUGGAACUUGGAGCUAUUCACUGCAAUCGUGCAUUGAACAGUUUUCCGAAGAGUACCCUGAUGUUAAUAUCGACUACGAUGUAUUUAAGAACCACAGGUCACGUC